AGAGUUUGAUUCUGGCUCAGAAUGAACGCUGGCGGCGUGCCUAACACAUGCAAGUCGGAUGUGCCGCAAGGUGCAUGGCAGACGGGUGAGUAACGCGUGGGAAAUCUACCUCUUUGUGGGGAAUAACGCUCCGAAAGGAGUGGUAAUACCGCAUGAGACCGCCCCCUGGGAUGGGGGUGGUGAAACCUGGGGACCGCAAGGCCUGGGGCAAGGAGAGGAUCCUGCGUCUGAUUAGCUAGUUGGCGGGGUAAUGGCCCACCAAGGCGACGAUCAGUAGCCGGCCUGAGAGGGUGAUCGGCCACACUGGAACUGAGACACGGUCCAGACUCCUACGGGAGGCAGCAGUGGGGAAUUUUGCGCAAUGGACGAAAGUCUGACGCAGCAACGCCGCGUGGGUGAUGAAGGUCUUCGGACUGUAAAACCCUGUCGUCAGGGACGAAGGUGUGCAUGUUAAUAGCGUGUGUGCUUGACGGUACCUGGAGAGGAAGCCCCGGCUAACUCUGUGCCAGCAGCCGCGGUAAUACA
rnacentral:rRNA from 1 species